GGAAUUGUGGCUCAGUGGUAGAGUACUUGCUUAGCAUGCAGGAGGCACUGGGUUCGAUCCUUAGCACCA
rnacentral:tRNA from 1 species